GGGGGUGUAGUAUAACCUGGUCAGUAUUCGAGGUUUGGGACUUCGCGAUCCCGGUUCGAAUCCGGGCACCCCCA
rnacentral:tRNA from 1 species